UACCAUUGAUUUUUUAUUUAUGUUUUUUUUAUUUAGUCUUUUGUUUUAUAUUUAUCUUAUUUAUUUAUGUUGUUUUUUCUAGAAAUGCUUAAUGGAUCUUGCAGCGUCUUCGACUAAGUUGGUGUUGGCAUACAUGGACUUUCAUGAAAAACAUGAACUAGUUGUGAAGCAUUUUCCUCACAAUGAGAAAAUACGAAAGCUGAAGGAAGAUGCAAUGGGUAUUUGUGACGAGCAAAGAUUGAGUUCUCAAGCUAUGCCAGAAAAUCAUAGCUUUUCUUUUAGCCAAGACGAUGAGUAUUGACAAGAUCCAGCCGUCAUUGAAGCUUGGGAUAGAUUUUCCAAGAUUUCUGCUAAUGAGAAGAAUGUUAAAUCCUCAGUCUUUGCUAGGGCUGGUUGUCCAACCGUAACAGGAGCCAUUGAUGUUACAAAGAUUGCGGCUGAAAGUGUUCAGAUAGCAAAUAGUCUUUCUGAAAAUGAAGGUCCUGCUAUUGUAGUUGAAACUGAAAAAGUUGUAGGAGGUUCAAGUAUUCGAUCUGGUUUGAGAUCUUCAGUUAAAAAAGGAUUUGGAACUCCUACUUUCAGUUUAGGAUUUGAUGAUCCGGAGAACUCCCCAACUAUUGUACAACCUUUAGUAGCUGUUGAUGCUGAUGUUCCUGUACGACCUUCAGUUGCUGCCGAUGCUGCCGAUGCUGAUGUUCCUUGUGCUGUGUAGGUGGUGCUGAUGUUCCUGUUUUGAAGAAGCGUAAAGUUCAACCAUCAAUGUUGCUUAGAUCACCUUUUAAGGCACGGAUUAUCAAAAUUUACACUACAUUAUCAGAAGUUCAGAAAACUGUCUUGGAAGCUCUGUUUAUUGAUGAUAAAAAUCGUUUUGAUCUAGUCUUUUUAUCCAAAGUUAAUGGAGUGCAUGAUGUUGAAGUCAUGAGAUUUCAACUUGAAAAGCUGUAUACUCACCUUAAAAUUGAUUCAGAAAUCAUUAAUGCUUGGUGUAGUAUUUUGAAUUAUAAUGAGCAAUUUAGAGACUCAAGUUCUCCUGCUCGUUUCUUUUUUAAUGUUACUGCUACUGAGUGUCUUGUUCAUUAUGAGAUUGAUUCUGUUAGUUAUCGGAAUACUAUGUUUCGUGAGGUUGCUCAAAAGUAAUACAGCCAAAAUGUUGUCCCAAAGAAGGACAUUCAACUUUUCUUCUUCCUAGUUUACGAAAUAGGUCAUUAUUUCUUGGUAUGUUUCAACACUACCACAGAGCAUGGUAAUAUUGAGGUUAUUGAUUAUAGUGAAGAUUCCGGAUAUCAUACACAACUUUUAAAACAUUUGAGAAGUGCAUUUUGCAAUUUUAUGCAAUAUGAAGGAAAUGUACAGAGCUCUGUGUUGUCAAGUGAUAUCAAGCGCAUGGAGCAUGUUACACUUGAUUCUCCUUGGAAGUCUACAGAUAAUAAUCAUUUGCACUGUGGAAUUGCAUUGAUGAGGAUUAUGGAAACAUACAUGGGUUUGUCAAAGUGGGCUUCAGGUUUGAAGAAGAAUAAUAUGAUAAUCAUGGAAAAACUUCGUGUGAAGUACACCUUGGCAAUAAUUUCAAGCGAAAUAAACACAAUUCAAUCCGUUAAAGAAAUUCCUCAAAAGAAGAAAAAGCAGAAGAAAGUUUCUCCUAAGACUGAACAAGAAAAAGUUGAAGAACAAAAGGGUGAAGAAGAAAAAGCUUAAGAUGAAAAGGCUACUUGUUAGUGUUACCUCAAUAUUUUGCUUGGUGAAGUAUUGAUUAAGGUGUUGACAUAGCUUUCUAAUUUUAGGGAAGUAGAGAAACAAUGAUUUAAUCAACUUGUAAAUUGUUAUUUUUUGAAUGAUGUAAAAAUGGUGACUUUUGAUUAUGGUGACUUUUGUGUUUACCUGAAAUACUUUGUCAUUUAUACCUACCGUUUUUUUGAACUAUUUGUUGAUUUACAAAUGAGCAACGAACUAUUUGAGCAAAUAAACA